rnacentral:rRNA from 1 species
UGGGGAAUAUUGGACAAUGGGCGAAAGCCUGAUCCAGCCAUGCCGCGUGAGUGAUGAAGGCCCUAGGGUUGUAAAGCUCUUUCACCGGGGAAGAUAAUGACGGUACCCGGAGAAGAAGCCCCGGCUAACUUCGUGCCAGCAGCCGCGGUAAUACGAAGGGGGCUAGCGUUGUUCGGAAUUACUGGGCGUAAAGCGCACGUAGGCGGAUCGGUCAGUUAGGGGUGAAAUCCCAGGGCUCAACCCUGGAACUGCCUUUAAUACUGCCGGUCUAGAGUUCGAGAGAGGUGAGUGGAAUUCCGAGUGUAGAGGUGAAAUUCGUAGAUAUUCGGAGGAACACCAGUGGCGAAGGCGGCUCACUGGCUCGAUACUGACGCUGAGGUGCGAAAGCGUGGGGAGCAAACG